AGUGAACGCUGGCGGUAGGCCUAACACAUGCAAGUCGAACGGCAGCACAGUAAGAGCUUGCUCUUACGGGUGGCGAGUGGCGGACGGGUGAGGAAUACAUCGGAAUCUACUUUUUCGUGGGGGAUAACGUAGGGAAACUUACGCUAAUACCGCAUACGACCUACGGGUGAAAGCAGGGGAUCUUCGCACCUUGCGCGAUUGAAUUAGCCGAUGUCGGAUUAGCUAGUUGGCGGGGUAAAGGCCCACCAAGGCGACGAUCCGUAGCUGGUCUGAGAGGAUGAUCAGCCACACUGGAACUGAGACACGGUCCAGACUCCUACGGGAGGCAGCAGUGGGGAAUAUUGGGCAAUGGGCGCAAGCCUGAUCCAGCCAUGCCGCGUGGGUGAAGAAGGCCUUCGGGUUGUAAAGCCCUUUUGUUGGGAAAGAAAAGCAGCAGGUUAAUACCCCGCUGUUCUGACGGUACCCAAAGAAUAAGCACCGGCUAACUUCGUG
rnacentral:rRNA from 1 species